GACGAAGGGGGCUAGCGUUGUUCGGAAUUACUGGGCGUAAAGCGCGUGUAGGCGGUUGUUCAGGUCAGGUGUGAAAGCCUUGAGCUCGACUCAAGAAAUGCACUUGAUACUGGAUGACUAGAGGACCGGAGAGGAUAGUGGAAUUCCCAGUGUAGUGGUGAAAUACGUAGAGAUUGGGAAGAACACCAGUGGCGAAGGCGGCUAUCUGGACGGUUUCUGACGCUAAGACGCGAAAGCGUGGGGAGCAAACAGG
rnacentral:rRNA from 1 species